rnacentral:lncRNA from 1 species
UAAUGCCACUCUUUUUGUAUUUUACUAAUUUCCGGAUGGCUCGUUUUAUUGACAAAAGGAACCAGAGUAAAACAGUCAACCACCAUGCAACCAAUGAAAAUGUACAAAUACCUUUUCUAGACAACUUAGAACCUUAUCAACUAUUAAAAAUCAAAGAUAAAUUGGAAAACCAUAUCAACAAAAGCCAUCAAAAAGAUACAAC